CGCGGCAGGCAUCAUCGUGUCCAACCACGGCGCCCGCCAGCUCGACUACGUGCCGGCCACGAUCAGCGCCCUCGAGGAGGUGGUCACGGCCGCCCAGGGACGCAUCCCGGUGUACCUCGACGGCGGCGUCCGCCGCGGCACCGACGUCUUCAAGGCGCUCGCCCUCGGCGCCUCCGGCGUCUUCGUAAGCCAUCCAUGGAUCCUUCACCAGCCACACUAUAUCGCUUAGGUAAAUAUAAGACACUGAAUUGUUACUUGUAAAUGCUAUGUAUGCUUGCAGAUUGGGCGGCCGGUGGUGUUCGCGCUGGCGGCGGAGGGCGAGGCCGGCGUGAGGAACGUGCUGCGCAUGAUGCGGGAGGAGUUCGAGCUCACCAUGGCGCUCGGCGGGUGCACCAAGCUCAGCGACAUCACCCGCGAACACAUCUUCACCGAGGGCGACCGCCUCGGACGCCCGCUGCCGAGGAUGUGAUCAAGAGCCAACGACACACGACGCGCUCAUCGCCGUCUCGACGCACGGCCGGGCAUAUGCAUGCUAGCCAGUAUCCACCGCAACGCAACGCAACGCAACGCACGCAAUAAUUACAGCCAACUCUAUAUCUACGACGCCGUCAGCGCCAAGAUGCUAGCCGUGUGUGUCCGGCCGGGGACGGUGAGCCGUAGUAGAUAAAUUUUUGCGUA
rnacentral:lncRNA from 1 species